rnacentral:tRNA from 1 species
AUUAGUAACUGAGUGGGUAAAGCGAUGGCGUCUGAAGCGAAAGGUAUUGGGUUCGAGUCCCAGAGUGAACA